rnacentral:rRNA from 1 species
GAGUUUGAUUCUGGCUCAGGAUGAACGCUGGCGGCGUGCCUAACACAUGCAAGUCGAGCGCGGUUGUGCUUAGUAUUGAGUGUUUUAUUGAUAUAAAACAUUGAAUUCUAUGCACAACUGAGCGGCGGACGGGUGAGUAACGCGUGGGUAACCUGCCCUAUACACAUGGAUAACAUACUGAAAAGUUUACUAAUACAUGAUAAAAUAGUUUUUCGGCAUCGAAGAAUUAUCAAAGUGUUAGCGGUAUAGGAUGGACCCGCGUCUGAUUAGCUAGUUGGUGAGAUAACUGCCCACCAAGGCGACGAUCAGUAGCCGACCUGAGAGGGUGAUCGGCCACAUUGGAACUGAGACACGGUCCAAACUCCUACGGGAGGCAGCAGUGGGGAAUAUUGCACAAUGGGCGCAAGCCUGAUGCAGCAACGCCGCGUGAACGAUGAAGGUCUUCGGAUCGUAAAGUUCUGUUGCAGGGGAAGAUAAUGACGUANCCCU